rnacentral:lncRNA from 10 species
UUUUGUUUGUUUGUUUCAGCAAGGUGGAAACAAUCUUUUUGUGUAAUCUAUGAAGGGAUGUUUCAAAGCCCCUUGAGGUCUAUAGUGAAAAACUGAGUAUCUCCUGAUAAAAACUAGAAACAAGCUUUCUGUGAAAAUUCUUUGUGAUGUAUGCAUUUGUCUCAAAGUUAAACCUUUGUUUUUAUGCUGCAGGUUUGAAAUACUCUAAGACAUUUUGGAGCUCUUGGGGCCUAUAAUGAAGAAACGUAUAUCCUGCGAUGAAAACUUGAAACAAGCUACCUGUGAAAAUGCUUUGCAAUGUGUAGAUUCAUCUGACAGUUAAACCUUUGUUUUGAUUCAACAGGUUAGAAACACUGUUUUCAUAUAAUCUACGAAGGGACACUUCGGUGCCCAUUGAGGAUUAUAGUACAAAACCAAAUAUUAUGCAAUUAAAACUACAAACAAGCUAUUGGGGAAAAUGCUUUGCAAUGUGAAGAUUUGUCUCACAGAGGUAAACACUUACUUACAUACAGCAGGUUGGAAACACACUUUUUGAAGAAUUAAGAAGUUACAAUUAAGAGUCCACUGAAGCCUAUAGUGAAAAACCCAAUAUCCAGUGAUAAACACUAGAAACAAGUUAUCUGUGAAAAUACUUUGAGAUGUGUGAUUUCAUAUAGAAGAGUUAAACCUUUAUUUUGAUUCAGAAAAAUAAAAGCCUUUUUUUUUUGUAGAAUCUACAAAAAGACAUUUCUGACCCCAUUGAGGCCAAUAGUAAAAAUUCGAAUGUCUCAUCAUAAAAGCUAGAAACAAGCUAUCUGUGAAAAUGCUUUGCAUCGUGUGGAUUCAUCUCAUAGAGUUAAACCUUCAUUUUUUUUUCAGGGGUUUGGGAACAUACUUUUUAUAUAACUUAUGAAUGGACAUUUCAGAGCCCAUUGAAGCCUAUACUGAAAAUCCAAAUAUCCUGCGAUAAAAACUAGGAGUAAGCUAUCUGUGAAAAUGCUUUGCGAGGUUUGGAUUAAUCUCACAGAUUUAAGCUGUUGCUUUGAUUUAGCAGGUUGGAAACCCUCUUUUUCUACAAUCUACUAGGGUACUAUUCGGACCAAAUUGAGGCCUAUACUGAAAAACUGAUUAUCCCGUGAUAAAAACUAGAAAAAAGCUGUCAGUAAAAAUGCUGUGCAAUAUGUGGAUUCAUGUCACAAAUUUAAACCUCUGCAUUUAUUCAGCAAGUUUGGAAUACCUUUUUGUAGAAUAUACAAAGGGAUGUUUCACACCUAUAAAAGC